rnacentral:rRNA from 1 species
UACAGAGGGUGCAAGCGUUUAAUCGGAAUUACUGGGCGUAAAGCGUGUGUAGGUGGUUUUUCUAAGUCAGGUGUGAAAUCCCUGGGCUCAACCUAGGAAUUGCAUUUGAUACUGGAAGACUCGAGUGUGGUAGAGGAUGGGUGGAAUUCCCGGUGUAGCGGUGAAAUGCGUAGAGAUGUGGAGGAAUACCGAUGGCGAAGCAGCCCCCUGGGAUACGACUGACGCGCUGCACGAAAGC